UACGAAGGGGGCUAGCGUUACUCGGAAUUACUGGGCGUAAAGGGCGCGUAGGCGGCGCACCAAGUUAGGCGUGAAAGUCCUGGGCUCAACCUGGGAACUGCGCUUGAUACUGGUGUGCUUGAGGAUGGAAGAGGGUUGUGGAAUUCCCAGUGUAGAGGUGAAAUUCGUAGAUAUUGGGAAGAACACCGGUGGCGAAGGCGGCAACCUGGUCCAUUACUGACGCUGAGGCGCGACAGCGUGGGGAGCAAAC
rnacentral:rRNA from 1 species